CCCCACUGCUAUCGGGAUAGGACUAAGACAUGCUAGUUGAGCGUUUCCAGCCAACACGGAGACGCAGCGCACAGCUCAGUAACACGUGGCUAAUCUGCCCUUGGGACCGGAACACCCCCGGGAAACUGGGGCUAAUUCUCGAUAGGUGAAGAACUCUGGAAUGAGUCUUUGCCAAAAAGAUGCUAGAGUUAUGCUCUUUGGCAUCGCCCAAGGAUGAGGCCGCGACCGAUCAGGUUGUUGGUGAGGUAAUGGCUCACCAAGCCUUUUACCGGUGCGGGCCGUGAGAGCGGGAGCCCGGAGAUGGGCACUGAGACAAGGGCCCAGGCCCUACGGGGCGCAGCAGUCGCGAAAACUUUGCAAUACACGAAAGUGUGACAGGGCUAUCCCGAGUGCCAUCCGCUGAGGAAGGCUUUUACCCAGUCUAGAACGCUGGGGGAAUAAGGAGAGGGCAAGUCUGGUGUCAGCCGCCGCGGUAAUACCAGCUCUCCGAGUGGUGUGGAUGUUUAUUGGGCCUAAAGCAUCCGUAGCUGGCUAAGUUAGUCCCUUGUUAAAUCCACCGAAUUAAUCGUUGGAUUGCGGGGGAUACUGCUUGGCUAGGGGACGAGAGAGGCAGACGGUAUUUCCGGGGUAGGGGUGAAAUCCUAUAAUCCCGGGAAGACCACCAGUGGCGAAGGCUGUCUGCUAGAACGCGCCCGACGGUGAGGGAUGAAAGCUGGGGGAGCGAACCGGAUUAGAUACCCGGGUAGUCCCAGCUGUAAACGAUGCAGGCUAGGUGUUUGGACGGCCACGUGCCGUUCUAGUGCCGCAGGGAAGCUGUUAAGCCUGCCGCCUGGGGAGUACGAUCGCAAGAUUGAAACUUAAAGGAAUUGGCGGGGGAGCACCACAAGGGGUGAAGCUUGCGGGUUU
rnacentral:rRNA from 1 species